rnacentral:rRNA from 1 species
AGUGAACGCUGGCGGUAGGCCUAACACAUGCAAGUCGGACGGCAGCACAGUAAGAGCUUGCUCUUACGGGUGGCGAGUGGCGGACGGGUGAGGAAUACAUCGGAAUCUACUUUUUCGUGGGGGAUAACGUAGGGAAACUUACGCUAAUACCGCAUACGACCUACGGGUGAAAGCAGGGGAUCUUCGGACCUUGCGCGAUUGAAUGAGCCGAUGUCGGAUUAGCUAGUUGGCGGGGUAAAGGCCCACCAAGGCGACGAUCCGUAGCUGGUCUGAGAGGAUGAUCAGCCACACUGGAACUGAGACACGGUCCAGACUCCUACGGGAGGCAGCAGUGGGGAAUAUUGGACAAUGGGCGCAAGCCAGAUCCAGCCAUACCGCGUGGGUGAAGAAGGCCUUCGGGUUGUAAAGCCCUUUUGUUGGGAAAGAAAAGCAGCAGGUUAAUACCCCGCUGUUCUGACGGUACCCAAAGAAUAAGCACCGGCUAACUUCGUG